rnacentral:rRNA from 1 species
UAAAUGUGGAGCCGUAGCGAAAGCGAGUCUGAAUAGGGCGUUUAGUAUUUGGUCGUAGACCCGAAACCAGGUGAUCUACCCUUGGUCAGGUUGAAGUUCAGGUAACACUGAAUGGAGGACCGAACCGACUUACGUUGAAAAGUGAGCGGAUGAACUGAGGGUAGCGGAGAAAUUCCAAUCGAACCUGGAGAUAGCUGGUUCUCUCCGAAAUAGCUUUAGGGCUAGCCUCAAGUGAUGAUUAUUGGAGGUAGAGCACUGUUUGGACGAGGGGCCCCUCUCGGGUUACCGAAUUCAGACAAACUCCGAAUGCCAAUUAAUUUAACUUGGGAGUCAGAACAUGGGUGAUAAGGUCCGUGUUCGAAAGGGAAACAGCCCAGACCACCAGCUAAGGUCCCAAAAUAUAUGUUAAGUGGAAAAGGAUGUGGCGUUGCCCAGACAACUAGGAUGUUGGCUUAGAAGCAGCCAUCAUUUAAAGAGUGCGUAAUAGCUCACUAGUCGAGUGACACUGCGCCGAAAAUGUACCGGGGCUAAACAUAUUACCGAAGCUGUGGAUUGUCCUUUGGACAAUGGUAGGAGAGCGUUCUAAGGGCGUUGAAGCAUGAUCGUAAGGACAUGUGGAGCGCUUAGAAGUGAGAAUGCCGGUGUGAGUAGCGAAAGACGGGUGAGAAUCCCGUCCACCGAUUGACUAAGGUUUCCAGAGGAAGGCUCGUCCGCUCUGGGUUAGUCGGGUCCUAAGCUGAGGCCGACAGGCGUAGGCGAUGGAUAACAGGUUGAUAUUCCUGUACCACCUAUAAUCGUUUUAAUCGAUGGGGGGACGCAGUAGGAUAGGCGAAGCGUGCGAUUGGAUUGCACGUCUAAGCAGUAAGGCUGAGUAUUAGG